rnacentral:rRNA from 1 species
UGGGGAAUAUUGGACAAUGGGCGCAAGCCUGAUCCAGCCAUGCCGCGUGAGUGAUGAAGGCCCUAGGGUUGUAAAGCUCUUUCACCGGUGAAGAUAAUGACGGUAACCGGAGAAGAAGCCCCGGCUAACUUCGUGCCAGCAGCCGCGGUAAUACGAAGGGGGCUAGCGUUGUUCGGAUUUACUGGGCGUAAAGCGCACGUAGGCGGACUUUUAAGUCAGGGGUGAAAUCCCGGGGCUCAACCCCGGAACUGCCUUUGAUACUGGAAGUCUUGAGUAUGGUAGGGGUGAGUGGAAAUCCGAGUGUAGAGGUGAAAUUCGUAGAUAUUCGGAGGAACACCAGUGGCGAAGGCGACUUUCUGGUCUGUAACUGACGCUGAUGUGCGAAAGCGUGGGGAUCAAACAGG